CCAGCGAGAAGUGGGACAUCUGACCGCAAGAAGCAAAGGGAAAGAUGGAAGCAGCUGCCUUUGAAAGACACUCUGGGAGAAACUAGGAAUGCACAGCGUCGCCACGGGCCCAGGUGACAGCGUGAGAAUGGAUUCCACCACCUCUCUGGCAUUGGGAGAGUAUUGUGUUAAAGGACAAUUGGCAGAGACACAGGAUAGCCCAGUCGAUCACUUUUGGAAGAUGGUCUCCAGGUGAAAGCACUUCUCCUCUGCAUAUCAAGAUUUCUCAGACAAUCUGGCAUGAAGGAGGCAGGUCAGCAUGUACGAUUUUGAGAAGUCCCCCAUAUUCCAACCCUUGUACCCCUUGGUUCCCAGGCCAAGUGCAUCCUGGUAGGGGAGGAAGAGCACCACUGGCCAGAGAGCAGCCUGUGUCCUUCGAGGUGUCUCUCUAGCUGGCCGAGGAGCUGGCUGCCAAUAAACCAUUCCUUUCUUCUUCUGAGCCACCUGCUUCUGCCGACAGGACACUGCCACAAGACCAGGCAAUCCACGGCCAGUGGCUCAUUGGCUUACUUUUUCCUCUGUAAAUGAGUUUCUUGGUCAGAAGUAAUACUGUAGGGCAGAUCACGAUAGAAUAUAAGCCAUCCAGCAUGUCAAUGGAGAGCCGGCAGCAGGGAGCUGACAGCCAAGGAAACCAAACACAACCAGAACUGCUACCUGCUCCGUGGGGUGACGGACACAGUCCAGUGUAAUCAACCUGCCACCUGGCCACUGGCUCCUCCCCCAACUUCCUUGCCGCACCAAAUGGCACGGUCACUCAGUUGAUCAGGCCAAGAUCCCAGAGCCCGGUCCCAGCUUCUCCCUUCCCUCACCCCCCGUAUCCAGUGUCAGUGCAUCUAGACUCUGCCCGGGUCUGAUCCCUACUCAGACACCUCCACCUCUACCACACUAGUCAAAGCCUCGGUCACCACCCAUGGGGAACUGCAAUAGCCUUCCAGCUGGUCACCCUGCUUCUGGCCUUCUUUACUGUACACUUCACUCUCAAGCCAAAGUGAUUUUUAUAUUUGGUCGUGCUACAGAGGGGACCCACGGCCUCUCACCUGCAGGCAGCUACUCUGUCACCAAGCUGUACACCCAGCCUGUCUGUCUGUCAUCUGUCGUUUUGGGGAUUAAACCCAGGGUCUUCACACCAAGCUCAUCCCCA
rnacentral:lncRNA from 1 species